UGCCGGAUCGUCUAAUGGUAGGACACGGGCCUUUGAAGCCCGGUAUGUAGGUUCGAUUCCUACUCCGGCA
rnacentral:tRNA from 1 species